GAUGCCUGGGACGGGGGCUGCUCUCAGCAAAAUGAAUUUCACUUCCCUCCGUAUUUGCUGGCCAGUGGGCUCCKCAGUGACCCAAGGGGUGAAGGUUCACUCUGGAGGAGCCAGUGUUUUGGAGCGCUUUUCUGGCUCAGCGUUUUGGAAGYUACCAUGCUCUAAUGGCCUGCAACGAGGCCAGAAACUUCUCACCUACGGAUGUUGCCUCAUGGACAGGUGUGCCCAUGUACAGGUGUGGGAUUGGUGACCUCCUCA